GUAAUACCAGAUGACAUAACCUGUAUGGCAUCCACGGGUCCUCAAAGGUCCGCCGGUCCGGGAGCAGGCGAUUUCGUAUCAGCUAGUUGGUGAGGUAACGGCCCACCAAUGCGACGACGCGUAGCCGGACUGAGAGUGUUGCCCGGCCACAUCGGGACUGAGACACUGCCCGGACUCCUACGGGGGGCUGCAGUAACGAAUCUUCCCCAAUGCACGCAAGUGUGAGGGAGCGACGCCGCGUGUGGGACGAAGUCCUUCGGGAUGUAAACCACUGUCAGGGGAUACCAAGUUCUGAGGAGCCCCAGAGGGAAGAGGCGGCUAACUCUGUGCCAGCAGCCGCGGUAAGACAGAGGCCCCAAGCGUUAGGCGGAAUCACUGGGCUUAAAGCGUGUGUAGGCGGACCCCUAAGUGUCUUGUGAAAUCCCACGGCUCACCCGUGGAACUGCUGGGCAUACUGGCCAUCUUGGGCCAACUAGGGGCAGCCGGAACAAGCGGUGGAGCGGUGAAAUGCGUAGAUAUCGCUUGGAACGCCGAAGGUGAAAACAGGCUGCUGGGGUUGCGCCGACGCUGAGACACGAAAGCCAGGGGAGCAAACG
rnacentral:rRNA from 1 species